GGAGGGAGAGGCGGGGCUGGGCUCAGCUCACACCUCCAUCUGGGCAGGUUGGGGCUGGCUGCUUGGCCCUUUGUCCCAGGUGGAGGCCAGGCCCUUUGGUAACCAAAGCUAGGUGUGCACAGGCAGGGUGGGUGGAGCAAGAACAAAAGGGUCCUGAGAAGCCGGGAGGCUCUGCUGGGAGGCUGGGCUGAGCCGGGACCCACCUGCCUGCUCUGUUGGCUGCACCAGGCAAAGUCCCUGAUAGGCUGCGGCCAGGUGUGUGCGGUGCCAGACCCUGGCCACACCCUCUGCCCAUCCUGCGUCCCGGGGUCUUCAGGCUGCCCACAGUAUGAGUCACGGGGUGUCCUGUGACCCACUGACCUGUCCCCACAGUGGGAGGGGAGGGCUGUGUGGCUCAGCAGGCACUAGCCCAGCUGAGGAGACCUGGGGAGGCAGGACGUGACCAGAGCCCUGGGCCCCAGCUGAGGGCAGACAGGGGCUGCCUGUCCACCCCCCGCCCUCCACCGCCUGGCCAGGCUGUACCAGGCUCAGGGCCCAUGUGCACCCAGCCCCCGCGGCCCCCCUGCUGGGACCGGUCAUGUGCACGAGCAAGGGCACUAAUCCCGCAGCCCUGGCAGCCAGCGCUUCUGUGUUCUCAGCCGUGGGGGCUGGGCCUGGAGGGCUUCGGGGUCAUCUGGGUUAGCUCCACGUAUCCAGGGCGACUGGAAACCCCAUUUGCUGCUGGACUCUGGGGCUGUGGGAGAGCUCUGGCCACCAGCCCUGUCCUGCCUUGAGCACCUCCACCUGGGGUAUCUGUCCCAAAGCAUGAGUCUGGGAGGGCCGGGUGACCGCAUCCCCAAGUGGGCUGGCAGAGGGUGGGUGCUUGUGGGGUCUGUCCCAGCCUCUCCCUGCCUGGCCUCCUGUGGGAUGAGCGUUGGAGGGCCAGGUGGGCCCAGCCCCAGGCAGGGCAGUUAAGGGACAGGAGCGGUUGCUUUUCUCCUUGUUUUGUCUGACACAGGUGGCCUCCCCCUCCCCCACUCAUCCAUGCAGAUGGCUGGGGUGCCGAGGCCUAGGGUAGGGAUGCAAGCAGGCAGCUGAGUUGCCCAGCAGGGCUCUGUGUGAGCUGUGCUGAGAGGGGAAGCUGGGGAUUUGGGCACAAAACGUGGCCCCCCAGCUGUGGGAGGCGGGGCUAUUCGUGGUGAGAAGGGACCCAAGGGUACACUUGGCUGUGUGGGCCGUGUGGCCGCUGUGGGAGAGGGCAUGAUGGCAAUAGCGUGUGCCCUCGGCCCUGUCAUGGCAGCCCUGUGUGGCCUCCUCGGCUGCCUCCUGAGAGGCUGUCUCGUCCUACUGUGCCUGGCUGCGGUGGUUCUCUGCCUGGGGCCCGGCUCCUGCCUCCAGGUCCUUCUAGGGGAGGAGGAGGAACUUGAGCUGCUGGUGUCCUGUGCCCAGGAAGAGUUUAAUAUUUCGAGCUCCGUCAGGGCUGCUUCCAUCUGCUGCAGGCGGGGGCCGCUCAUAUUCAUUAGGGACCACUGGGGCCGGGCUGAGUGCAGCUGAGCAGUGGGAGCUCGGCUGUUGUGGGGAGCUUAGCCCCAUGCAAGCCCCGGUCAGGGGAGGUGGAGAGUCCUGACCAUUGGUCCCCACUGCCCCCAUUACCCCUGGGAACCGGCAGCCCUGCCUGGGCUUCAAGGCCACUGGGAGAAGGAAAGAAUUUGCUCAGAUGUGAAAUCCUGCAGCCUACGAAGUGGAGGGCCAGAGGGGCAGCAGGGUGAGGAAGGGGUCACUGCUGGGGUUGCUGGCACUCAGGCUCAGUGGAGGCAGCCCCCCACUCUGCACAGCCUCAGGCCACCUCUCAACUAUGUUAGAUGGGUGAUGGUGACUGGGGCUACUGCCUGGCCUUGACGCCUCACAGAGGCCCUUGUCCGCAGUGGGGGGUCCGUGCUCUGCUGGAUUGUCCAGGCAUCCAGUAAGCCAGGACAUGAACUUGGCUUUAGAGAGAGGCCCCAGACACCGGCAGGAGCUGCCUGGAGCCUAGAGUGCAAGGCCCCUGAGGGGACAGCCUCUCUUUCACCCUGUUCCUGCUCUAGAGCUGCUUGGUGGGAGGGGAUGUGUCCACCCCAGUUUCCCCCCAGCUGGCACUCUGCCCAGACAGCAGAGCAGGAGGGGCUUGAGAUGGUAGCUCUGGGAGCUGGUCUAGAGGCUUCUGGGGACCCAGAGGCUUUGGGCUCCUGAUCCUGGUCAGAGUUUGGUCCCUGGCUGGAAUGGGGAGGGGGAGUUGGCCCCCAGGGCAGAGGGAUGGAUGCCGGCAGGGUCCAGCUGGAGAGCUCUGUGCCCCCUCCUGGAGCCCCCGGAACGGUUGAUGGUGUGUCUGGCGCCCCACUUGGGUCAGCCUCAUCCUGAGGGCUGAACCUGAGCCCCUGGCAUCGCUGUGCCCAUGUGGGCCCUCAGCCCUCGUUCACGUGACUCUCACUCCCAGAUGAAGAUCUCCUUCAACGACAAAAGCCUGCAGACUACAUUUGAGUACCCUUCCGAGAGCUCCCUAGCACAGGAGGAAGAGGUGGACCAGCAGGAGGAGGAGGAGGAGGAGGAGGAAGAGGAAGAGGAGGAAGAGGGAUCCGGCUCAGAGGAGAAGCCCUUUGCACUCUUCCUACCCCGGGCCACGUUUGUGAGCAGCGUGAGACCCGAGAGCUCUCGGGUGCCAGAGGGUAUCUCAGGCCUGUCCAGCUACACCCCGAAGCACUCUGUGGCCUUCAGCAAAUGGCAGGAGCAGGCGCUGGAGCAGGCCCCCAGGGAGGCAGAGCCCCCGCCCACGGAGGCCAUGCUCACACCCGCCAGUCAGAAUGACCUCUCGGACUUCCGCAGCGAGCCAGCCCUGUAUUUCUGAGCCCAGCACUGCCAGGACCAAGGCUGAGCCCAGCUGUGAGAGUCCUGGGAGCUGGGCAGUAGCCAGGGACUACUGCACCCACUUCUGCCUUGUUUGGCCUCACUGUAUCCCACCCACCCUUCCUGGCCCUGGAAGCAGCUAGGGUGCCUCCUGCCAUCGGGGCCAGGUCUGGAUCUCACUCCCCGGCCCUGGUUUGGGAGGGUCCAAGGGGGGAGUCGGGUGGGGAACUGCCUGUGGGUGAGUGCCAGGGGCCUGCUGGGUGGUGGCCAUCUGCGACCCAGCAGGGGGCUGUGCAGAUUCUGCACCUGGCCGUUCCCUGUCCUAUCUCCUCAGCCUGCCUCCCAGCGGCCAUGGGUUGUCUGGGGUGAAGGGCUGUCCCAGCUACUUGUCCUCUGCAGGACCCUAAGCCCCUGCCUGCGGCCCACAUGCCCUCUGUGAUGAGUGGCGUCUUUCCUGUCUCUGAUGAUGGACUCAAUAAACAGCACUGGACAAGG
rnacentral:sRNA from 1 species